rnacentral:rRNA from 1 species
UAGCGUAUAUUAAAGUUGUUGCAGUUAAAAAGCUCGUAGUUGGAUCUCAGGGUGAGCUCAGUUGGUCAGCCUAAUUGGUCAGAACUGGCUGACUCUCCCUUGUUUCUGAAUCCCGGUCGGAGUUAAUUCUUCGUUCGUGGACUUCAGAUCGUUUACCUUGAAAAAAUUAGAGUGUUCAAAGCGGGCGUUUGCUUGAAUACAUUAGCAUGGAAUAAUGGAAUAGGACCCUGGUUCUAUUUUGUUGGUUUUGAGGACCAGAGUAAUGAUUAAUAGGGAUAGUUGGGGGCAUUCAUAUUUAAUUGUCAGAGGUGAAAUUCUUGGAUUUAUGAAAGAUGAACUUCUGCGAAAGCAUUUGCCAAGGAUGUUUUCAUUAAUCAAGAACGAAAGUUAGGGGAUCGAAGAUGAUCAGAUACCGUCGUAGUCUUAACCAUAAGCUAUGCCGACUAGGGAUUGGGAGCGGUUUGUUCAUUGACCCUCUCAGCACCUUACGAGAAAUCAAAGUUUUUGGGUUCCGGGGGGAGUAUGGUCGCAAGGCCUGAAACUUAAAGGA